CAGCCAUGAUGACUCCAUGAAAUUACAUAGACCUUACAUAGACAUAGACAUUAAACGCUACUUUGAGCGACGUGGCCCCCGCACACACAAGCUUCAUCAUGGUCCGGGAUUAUAAACGAAAAAGCAACAGGCAGUCAUGGAGCGAGGAGAAUAUGAAGGGAGCCAUAGACGCAAUGAAUAAUGGUACCUCCUUAAGAAAAGCAUGUGCUGAAUUUCAUGUUCCAAAAACAACUCUCCGAAGAAGAGUUAAGGACACGAACAAGUUCGCCAAAGGUCAUGGAAAGAUUAUGGGGAAUUACAAGACUGUAUUCCCACUGGAGUUGGAGAAAGACUUGGUUGAUUACGUUCUACACCUUGAGACUCUUAUGUAUGGUCUGACGACAAAUGACGUACGCAAUCUGGCCUAUCAACUAGCCGUUAGAAAUGGACUGCCAAAUUCGUUUAACAAAACCAAGGAAAAGGCUGGGAAGGAUUGGCUCCUGAGCUUCAUGAAGCGACACCCUGACUACAACCCCACAACU